UUCGCCUUAUGCCAUGGAACAAUUCUUGAAUUUUGGCCCUGGAAACUCUUAUACAAUACUUUUCAGAAAAUUUAAAAAGUCCUUUAUUUGAUUAGUGAGGAAAUAUCUUUUGCAAGAAAAUAUGAUUACUUGCUCAAUUUGUAUUUGUGGUCUUAUGGUUAUGUGGGUGCCAAGUGGUUGAUUACAUAUUUUCAGACGUUAAAAUAGGAGGAGGACUCUUAUGUGUGUUGCCUUAGCUUUCCUGAGGGUUUUAUACACGUGCCCGUGUAAUCCUUCCAUAUUUCUUUUUUAUUAUUUGGAAUGUGUUACGUGUACAAAAAUAUUAUUUGAAAUGUGUCUUUAUGUGCCUGCUUUCCCUCGUGGUGUGCUGUGCUGGUUUCCCU